UGGGUAUUAGCUCAGUCGUAGAGCUCCUGCUUCGUAAACGGGAAGAUCUGGGUUCGAUUCCCGGCUGCUUAC
rnacentral:tRNA from 1 species